AACGGGAAGAACCUUCCCAGUCCUUGACAUCCUCCUGACGUAUCAGUAAGGUUAUAUUUCUUUCGGGACAGCAAAGACAGUUGGUGCAUGUUCGUGGUCAGCUUCAGUUCGGAGAGUUUGGUUUAAGUCCAGCUCCGAGGCCAACCGCAUUCCUUAGAAGCAGGCAGUUAAGAUGGGCACUCUAAGGAGACUGCCGGGGACAACCCGGAGGAAGGUGGGGAUGACGUCAAAUCAUCAUGCCCCUUAUGGCCUGGGCUACACCCGUGCUACAAUGGCGUCCUACCAAAAAAGA
rnacentral:rRNA from 1 species